ACUUGCUGGUGAUGAAGGGCGCCCCCGAGCGCGUGCUGGAGCGCUGCAGCUCCAUCCUUAUCAAGGGCCAGGAGCUGCCGCUGGACGAGCAGUGGCGCGAGGCCUUCCAGACCGCCUACCUCAGCCUGGGAGGCCUGGGCGAACGCGUGCUCGGUGAUCAUGGUAACGGGUGACCACCCCAUCACCGCCAAGGCCAUUGCAGCCAGUGUGGGCAUCAUCUCGGAAGGCAGCGAGACAGUGGAGGACAUCGCUGCCCGCCUCCGUGUGCCCGUAGACCAGGUUAAUCGCAACGAUGCCCGUGCCUGUGUGAUCAAUGGCAUGCAGCUGAAGGACAUGGACCCAUCGGAACUGGUCGAGGCCCUGCGCACCCACCCCGAGAUGGUGUUUGCGCGCACCAGCCCCCAGCAGAAGCUGGUGAUCGUGGAGAGCUGCCAGCGGCUGGGUGCGAUUGUGGCCGUCACGGGGGAUGGUGUGAAUGACUCCCCAGCUCUGAAGAAGGCAGACAUCGGAGUAGCCAUGGGCAUCGCUGGCUCAGAUGCUGCCAAAAAUGCAGCUGACAUGAUCCUGCUGGAUGACAACUUUGCCUCCAUUGUGACAGGCGUGGAGCAGGGUCCGAGCCACGCCAGGGGGAGGGCAGGCAGUGUGGGCACAGGAGGGAGAGGGCUGUGAGGAGGCUGAGGUGCCCACCCUACCCCACAGGUCGACUGAUCUUCGACAACCUGAAGAAGUCUAUUGCCUACACAUUGACCAAGAACAUCCCAGAGCUGACACCCUACCUCAUCUACAUCACCGUCAGCGUGCCCCUGCCCCUCGGGUGCAUCACCAUCCUCUUCAUCGAACUCUGCACUGACAUUUUCCUUCCACUCCUGGCCAGUUCCCAUCUGUGUCCCUGGCAUAUGAAAAGGCCGAGAGUGACAUCAUGCACCUGCGUCCACGCAACCCAAAGCGUGACAGAUUGGUCAACGAGCCCCUGGCUGCCUACUCCUACUUCCAGAUUGGUGCCAUUCAGUCCUUUGCUGGCUUCACUGACUACUUCACGGCAAUGGCCCAGGAGGGCUGGUUCCCACUGCUGUGCGUGGGGCUGCGGGCGCAGUGGGAGGACCACCAUCUACAAGAUCUGCAGGACAGCUACGGCCAGGAGUGGACAUUCGGGCAGCGCCUGUACCAGCAGUACACCUGCUACACCGUGUUCUUCAUCAGCAUUGAGGUGUGCCAGAUCGCCGACGUCCUCAUCCGCAAGACGCGCCGCCUCUCUGCCUUCCAGCAAGGCUUCUUCAGGAAUAAGAUCCUGGUGAUCGCCAUCGUGUUCCAGGUCUGCAUCGGCUGCUUCCUGUGCUACUGCCCCGGCAUGCCCAACAUCUUCAACUUCAUGCCCAUUCGGUUCCAGUGGUGGCUGGUCCCCCUGCCCUACGGCAUCCUCAUCUUCGUCUAUGAUGAGAUCCGGAAGCUUGGAGUUCGCUGUUGCCCAGGGAGCUGGUGGGACCAGGAACUUUACUAUUAGAGGGACGACUGCCUUCAAGCAUCCCUGCAACUGCCACAGCAGGUGGGGGCAGGGCUCGUGGGACCCUUUGGACAGCCACCAAGAUAUCUGAGCAACCAAGAGUCCCAGCCCCACCAGUAUCUGCUUCUGCAGCCCACGGCACCCCAAACUUGGAGAGACCUGCCCACUCCCCUCCCCCAUUCCCAAGGUUCGCACCUCCUGGAGCAGCAGCGCCUGGGCAGUCCUCUGGGCUGGCCUCGGGAAAGCCCCCACCUGUGGUGGCGGUGGGGCUCUGACAGGGAAUACAGCUGGCCUCUUCUGGAGGGUGUUUCUGUCCUUAGGACUCCAGUCCAGGUUGGAGGGCUGCCUGAGGGCCCUUCGUUAAAGACACGCUUGUGUCCUGGGCGAUGGUAAUAAAACCAACUCAUGCUG
rnacentral:sRNA from 1 species